rnacentral:rRNA from 1 species
CCUACGGGUGGCAGCAGUGAGGAAUAUUGGUCAAUGGCCGAGAGUCUGAACCAGCCAAGUAGCGUGAGGGAAGACUGCCCUAUGGGUUGUAAACCUCUUUUAUGUGGGAAUAAAAUGUUCCACGUGUGGCUGUUUGUAGGUACCAUUUGAAUAAGGAUCGGCUAACUCCGUGCCAGCAGCCGCGGUAAUACGGAGGAGGCGAGCGUUAUCCGGAUUUAUUGGGUGUAAAGGGCGUGUAGGCGGGUGGGUAAGUCAGUUGUGAAAGUCUGCGGCUCAACCGUGAAAUUGCAGUUGAAACUGGCAGUCUUGAGUACAGUAGAGGUAGGCGGAAUUCGUGGUGUAGCGGUGAAAUGCGUAGAUAUAACGAAGAACACCAGUGGCGAAGGCAGAUGACUGGACUGCAACUGACGCUGAGGCUCGAAAGCGUGGGGAGCAAACAGGAUUAGAUACCCUGGUAGUC